rnacentral:misc_RNA from 1 species
UGCUACUGAGAUAUUUUUCAAAACCCUAAAACCUGUACCCCUCUCUCUACUCCUUUCUAUUACAGCUCACUGACAAUGGCAUCUUUAGCUCUACCUGGAAGCUUUCUUGAUGUCAACAAAACCUGCCACUGUAGAUAUGCUGCUCGAAACUCUAUUAUAAGGUGUAAUGUGGCGGAACCACUAAUGUUUAACAAAGAGAAUGGGAGACCAGGCAUGCCCCUCCAGGUUAAUGGAGACCCUUCAUUUUCUAAUCUCUUGAACGCCAAUCAGCUAAGAAGAUUUCCAGUUGCACACGGUCACACUGAUACCAGACUCCGUAUUUUUUCUGGGACUGCCAAUCCUGCACUUUCUCAGGAAAUUGCUAGCAACAUGGGUUUGGAACUUGGAAAGAUAAUGAUUAAACGUUUUGCUGAUAGCGAGAUUUAUGUCCAGUUACAAGAGAGUGUUAGGGGUUGUGAUGUAUAUCUUGUCCAACCUACCUGUCCUCCUGCUAAUGAAAAUCUGAUGGAACUCUUGAUAAUGAUUGAUGCUUGUCGUAGGGCCUCAGCCAAAAAUAUCACUGCAGUGGUUCCUUACUUUGGGUAUGCCCGUGCUGAUCGUAAGACUCAAGGUCGUGAAUCAAUUGCCGCCAAACUUGUAGCAAAUCUGAUAACAGAAGCUGGUGCAGAUCGAGUCCUUGCUUGUGAUCUCCAUUCUGGCCAGUCAAUGGGCUAUUUUGACAUUCCAGUGGAUCAUGUACCUGGCCAGCCUGUCAUACUUGACUACCUUGCGAGCAAGACUAUCUGCUCUGAUGAUCUAGUUGUGGUAUCUCCUGAUGUUGGGGGGGUUGCAAGGGCAAGAGCUUUUGCCAAGAAGCUGUCUGAUGCACCCCUAGCUAUCGUGGAUAAAAGGCGUCAUGGACACAAUGUUGCUGAGGUAAUGAAUUUGAUUGGUGAUGUCAGGGGAAAAGUGGCAGUUAUGGUUGAUGACAUGAUUGAUACGGCUGGUACUAUUGCAAAAGGAGCUGCUCUUUUGCAUCAAGAAGGAGCCAGGGAAGUUUAUGCAUGCACGACUCACGCGGUUUUCAGCCCUCCUGCAAUAGAGAGAUUGUCGAGUGGACUGUUUCAGGAGGUAAUCAUCACAAAUACCAUCCCGGUUGCAGAACAGAACUAUUUCCCCCAGUUGACCAUCUUAUCUGUGGCAAACCUCUUGGGUGAAACCAUUUGGCGUGUCCACGAUGACUGUGCGGGAGGCUUUGAGCCUUACUCAAAUUUGGGCAUUGAUUAGUUAGUUCCCAUUCAUUGGCUGUCAUGGAACUGUUGUCUAUAACUUGAAGCAGAAUUGUAUAUCCAACAAAUGUCCAUCCAGUAACGAAGUGAGAAUUUUCAACUGUAAAAAUCUUGCUUGCAUAAUGUUAUGUUGUAAAUCUUUCAAGAGGUGACUUGAGUUGAGUCCCUGAUGUAAAUAAGCU